CUUUUAAUCAUCUCGUAAGGGUUCCCACCUCUUACCAUAUCUGUUCUUGGUUUCAAUUUGAGAAGAUCGACUUUGUGAAUCCCUUUUAUCUAUGAGAUUAGCGUUAGUUUCUCAAACGUGUGUGUUAUUUUCUGUUCCCUCUGUACCGGAGAUGAUCUAGGUUUCUGAAUUGUUCGAUUAGGAGAGUUUUAGAUCUGCAGAUUUGAGUUCGAGUUAAGCAGAUUUGAGGCUUGGUUCUAAUUGCAGGCCACGAGGAUUGGAAUUUCCUAUGAUCCCGCCUCAUAUUGCGACCGGAAAAGGGUGUGCCGGGUUACUUUGGUUGCUGUUGUUUGAAAUUUCAAGGUGGUUGGUUGGUGAGUUAAAUUUGUUGGGGGAGGGAUAAGGUUAUUGGUAUGAAGUUGCUGAUUGGUAUGGGUUUGAUGUUUGUGGCUGAGUUUACCUUUUGACUAUAGUGGAUUCGUGGGUAACUGGGAUGUGAUAAAAGGUUGUUGAUUGGGGGCUUCUAUGGGGAGAAUUGAGGUCAAGAAUACUAGGAAGCUGAAGAGAAGAUUAUCAUCUUGUUUUUAUGAGCCCGGUUUAUUUUUUGAUUUUCUUUCUUUGUUUGGUUGCUUUUAAGAGGUUAUGAUUGUAUAGGGUUUUUUCUGUUUUGACUUGCCAACAGAUAACCACAAUAGCUAAUUGUCGGUUUAUUGAUUAGAUUUUAUGUUUGGUCAUGAAAUAAAGGCACUACUAUACUAUU
rnacentral:lncRNA from 1 species